rnacentral:rRNA from 1 species
AGCGAACGCUGGCGGCAGGCUUAACACAUGCAAGUCGAGCGGCCACUUUCGGGUGUCAGCGGCUGACGGGUGAGUAACGCGUGGGAACGUGCCCUCUGGUUCGGAAUAACUCAGGCAAACUUGAGCUAAUACCGGAUACGCCCUUUUUGGGGAAGGCUUGCUGCCGGAGGAUGGGCCCGCGCCUGAUUACCUGGGUGAUGGGGUAACGGGUCACCAAGGCGACGAUCAGUAGCUGGGCUGAGAGAAUGAGCAGCCACACUGUGAGUGAGAAACGGCCCAGAAUACUACGGGAAGCAGCAGUGGGGAAUCUUGGAAAAUGGGCGGAAGCAUGAUCCAGCCAUGCCGGGUGAGUGAUGAAGGCCUUAGGGUUGUAAAGCUGUUUUAUACGGGACGAUAAUGACGGUACCGGAGGAAUAAGCACCGGCUAACUUCGUG